CUGCUCACUUGUCAGGGCCUGAGAUCACAGACGAGCUGGUGAAGGUGCUGCGCAGGCGCCUGGAUGAGGCCACCCUGGAUAUCAUCACUGUCAUGCUGGUGCGGAACUGCAAGCUGACCCCAGCAGAUGUGGAGGUCCCAGCUGGGUUUUAAAGCCUCCUUGUGCAGUUUAUCCAGCCCCCUGGAACGCCGCCCACGGAGGUCCUGCAGUUCUCGCUGCCGCCCUCGGCGCUGCCCUGGCUGCACGCCGUGGCCUAUUACCUGCGCCAGAACCUGCUCAUCUUCCUGCACACCCCCAAGUACACCGACAGCAACGUGGAGCACCACUUCAAGCACUACUUCAACCACAAUGGGAGCAUCCCUGACCAGGAUCUCUAUCUGUAUAACAAGCCGGGUGGCCAAGGCACUGGUGGAAAAGGAAUCGCAUGCAUUGCACUGACAUUCGUGGAUGAGCACGGCAACCCCACCUUGCUGCCCCACGGGGAGAGGCCCGACCCUCUGA
rnacentral:lncRNA from 1 species